rnacentral:rRNA from 1 species
GACGAACGCUAGCGGCGUGCUUAACACAUGCCAGUCGAGCGGAGCGGCGAACGGGUGAGUAACGCGUGAGUAACUACCCCCCUCUCUGGGAUCACCGUUGGAAACGGCUGCUAAUACCGAAUAGUGUGGGAUGAACCUCUUCCUAUCAGCCUGUUGGUGGGGUAGUGGCCUACCAAGGCGACGACGGGUAGCCGGCCUGCGAGGGCGACCGGCCACAUUGGGCUGAGAUACGGCCCAAACUCCUAGGGGAGGCAGCAGUUGGGAAUAUUGCACAAUGGGGGAAACCCUUAUGCAGCAACGCGCGUGCGGGAUGACGGCCUUCGGGUUGUAAACCGCUUUCAGCCAUGACGCGGUAGUGGCAGAAGAAGCACCGGCUAACUACGUGCCAGCAGCCGCGGUAAUAC